rnacentral:misc_RNA from 1 species
AGGACUACCCGGGUAUCUAAUCCUGUUUGCUCCCCACGCUUUCGCACCUGAGCGUCAGUCUUUGUCCAGGGGGCCGCCUUCGCCACCGGUAUUCCUCCAGAUCUCUACGCAUUUCACCGCUACACCUGGAAUUCUACCCCCCUCUACAAGACUCUAGCCUGCCAGUUUCGGAUGCAGUUCCCAGGUUGAGCCCGGGGAUUUCACAUCCGACUUGACAGACCGCCUGCGUGCGCUUUACGCCCAGUAAUUCCGAUUAACGCUUGCACCCUCCGUAUUACCGCGGCUGCUGGCACGGAGUUAGCCGGUGCUUCUUCUGCGAGUAACGUCACAGUUGAUACGUAUUAGGCAUCAACCUUUCCUCCUCGCUGAAAGUGCUUUACAACCCGAAGGCCUUCUUCAC